UUUCUCAUCUUGUCUGGAAGACUAGUGAUUUUGUUGUUCUGUAUAUGAGAAACAAGAAAUCACUAUCUUCCGACAAUAUUUGAAC
rnacentral:pre_miRNA from 1 species